GCACAAGCGGUGGAGUAUGUGGUUUAAUUCGAUGCAACGCGAAGAACCUUACCUGGUCUUGACAUCCCGGAGACCCUUAGGAAACUAGGGGGUGCUUCCAUCUGGAAGAAUCUGGAGACAGGUGCUGCAUGGCUGUCGUCAGCUCGUGUCGUGAGAUGUUGGGUUAAGUCCCGCAACGAGCGCAACCCUUGCCUUUAGUUGCCAGCAGUUCGGCUGGGCACUCUAAAGGGACUGCCGGUGUUAAACCGGAGGAAGGUGGGGAUGACGUCAAGUCCUCAUGGCCUUUAUGACCAGGGCUACACACGUACUACAAUGGCCGAUACAAAGGGCAGCGACACUGCGAGGUGAAGCCAAUCCCGUAAAAUCGGUCUCAGUCCGGAUUGGAGUCUGCAACUCGACUCCAUGAAGUUGGAAUCGCUAGUAAUCGUGGAUCUAGCAUGCCACGGUGAAUACGUUCCCGGGCCUU
rnacentral:rRNA from 1 species